UUCUCUCUCUCUCUCGCUCCGUCUAUUUUACCGUGGCCACAACAGCAGCCUUCCACAAUCGACACAGUAGGCACUGCCGCAAAAGAAAAGACGGAGAAGGAGAUGAUGUGACGAUGAUGAUCAGGGGCUCGCCGAAGAGCCAGCAAUUGUGCCGAGAGGUUGUAGUGGAGAAAGGGUAAUGGGAUGAGGGUAGGUUGCCCUACUCUCCUUUUCUUUUCCUGCUCCUCCGCUCUCCACCUCAGUCCGCUCCGCUUCUCCACUGUUGCCGCAAGUUCGUUCUGAAAGCUCUUGUUCAUCUGGUUCUCAUCCUGCAGCUUCUGAUGACGGAUGGGAUUGUGUGGCUCGGCAAUUUUUUUUUCGUUGUCCUCU
rnacentral:lncRNA from 1 species